rnacentral:lncRNA from 1 species
GAAUCUAACGCCUGAUGACCUAUCACUGUCUCCCAUCACUCCCAGAUGGGACCGUCUAGUUGCAGGAAAACAAGCUCAGGGCUCCCACUGAUUCUACAUUAUGAUCAACUGCAUGGGGUCCUACAGGAGAAGACCAAGAGACAGAGACAGGGACCAGGGAAAAUGACCGAUACCAUUCCUUCUCAGGGAUGCUACACACCCAUGGGGCAGAGGAUAAGAGGUUCCUGAAGGCAUCACCCCUCUGGCCAUGGCUGGUGUGCAGACAAAGCUGGAGAUUUGGAGUAACCUGUUGUCCCACUGACUCUUAGACUGCCCCAGCUAAGAAGAACCAACUCCUCCUAUUACAGAUGAAAUAAACAAAGCUACUCAAGCUCUCUGGCAUCGCCCUGACGGUCAUCAUGUGCUUGACAUUUCCCUCCUGCCCCCCCGAUUUUCUGGAAAAGGGAGAAACACACCAAAGAGAGUUCUAGAAAAAAUGAGAAUAAGAAAUUUACCUGUAAUCCUUGCUCAAGAAACUGAAGCUCUGAGGCCACAUUGUUCCAGCCUUUUGCAGCUCCUGCAUGUGGAUACCAGCACCAGCAGCUCCCGGACCAGGGGCCCCAGCUAAGCCCUCCCAGAGGAUGAUCUUGGCUUUGUACAUGGGGUGCCAAUAUCCUGUGAGUCCAACAGAGGGAAGACAUAAGAAUAUGGUCACCCAGGUAAGUGGUGGAUAGCUGAGUGACUAUAUUCUUGCUCACCACCACCCCCAUCAGAGGGGGUGUCUUUGUUUCUAGUUGGGGGAAGCUUUGGUAGACUGUCAGUAAUUCCUCCCUGUGUCCCCCAUCCUGUGUCAAGUAACAGACAUUUGUCUUAAUGUAUUCACUGUGUCAUCAGAAGCCACUUCUUAUC